GCGAAAGGAACAGAUACAUCAAGGGGCGACAAAGUUAGCAAACGCUGAUCAUUGGCCAUGGAGGUCCUGAAGAAAAGAAGUGUGUUUUUGAGGUCCAGAAAGUGUGUGCUACACUGAAGGUGUAGUCUAUGAUUUAUAGAUGAAUUAUCAGCUUCAAAAGUCAAAGACUAUUGAAACAGUGACAAGUUGGAUGCUCAGCCCAGUGCAGCUUGGAACAGGACACUAGCAAGCUUUUUGUUUCGAGGACAAGCAGCAUGAGAGUUUUUGGAAAGCUGACGUAUUUGUUGUCAAAAAGGAACUAGGAUGAAAAGCCUUCUGCCUGGAUGUGCUCAGCUUUUACAUUAAAAGGACGUGAUUGCUUUCUGCCAACACACUGCAUUAGAGGUAGAAAAGCUAGGACCAGUGCUACUUAAUUUAUUCAUCAGUGAUGUGGAAUCGGGGACGAGUAGUGAGGUUUGAGAAUGAUACCAAAUUAUUCAUGGUGGGGAAAACCCAAACAGAUUGUGAAGACCCCCAAAAGGACAUCUCCAAACUGAGUGAAUGGGCAACAAAAUGGCAAAAUAAAUUUAAUGUAAAUAAGUUGUAACCCUUCAUAUGUCCUUAAAUCUAAGAUGAAUUGAUCCCAGUCUUGCCACUUUUCCUCCAGCUGAUUUCAGCACAUUGUUAUGCACUGCCUUGAGUGGAGGAAGGAUGAUUAAAAUGAAAUGAAAAGUCAAAUA